GGUCAGUGAUGAGUAACUGUUUUAUCUGAAUCUAAAGCUGAUGUGGUUUUAACACUUAGCUCUAGAAUUACUCUGAGACCUG
ensembl:snoRNA